rnacentral:rRNA from 1 species
GAUGAACGCUGGCGGCGUGCCUAAUACAUGCAAGUCGAGCGAACGGACGAGAAGCUUGCUUCUCUGAUGUUAGCGGCGGACGGGUGAGUAACACGUGGAUAACCUACCUAUAAGACUGGGAUAACUUCGGGAAACCGGAUCUAAUACCGGAUAAUAUUUUGAACCGCAUGGUUCAAAAGUGAUAGACCGUCUUGCUGUCACUAAGAGAUGUAUCCGCGCUGCAUUAGCUAGUUGGUAAGGUAACGGCUUACCAAGGCAACGAUGCAUAGCCGACCUGAGAGGGUGAUCGGCCACACUGGAACUGAGACACGGUCCAGACUCCUACGGGAGGCAGCAGUAGGGAAUCUUCCGCAAUGGGCGAAAGCCUGACGGAGCAACGCCGCGUGAGUGAUGAAGGUCUUCGGAUCGUAAAACUCUGUUAUUAGGGAAGAACAUAUGUGUAAGUAAAUGUGCACAUCUUGACGGUACCUAAUCAGAAAGCCACGGCUAACUACGUG